rnacentral:rRNA from 2 species
UUUGGUGUCUAUAGCGAAGGGGUUACACCUGUUACCAUCUCGAACACAGAAGUUAAGACCUUCAGCGCUGAUGGUACUGCCGGGUUUCCUGGUGGGAGAGUAAGUCGAUGCCAGGA